UCCGGAUCAGAACCCAGGUCCUUCUGACUCCCAGGUCCAUGCUCGAUCGACGAAGUCUCGCUGAACAGGGCACGGGGACCUGCCCACCCGCCAGCCUGGGUCCCCAGCUCCCUCGGAACAGCACCGCCUCCGUUUUAGAGCGAUAUUACUGGGAAAGAAGCUGAUGUCUUGAAGAUUUCAAGCCAGCAGCAGGCCUCGCUGCUUCUCUUGGGAGCCUCUUUCUAACAAAAGCCUCCACAGAACAAAAUUUCCUCUGAUCCUGGCCAACUCCUGAGAAAUGAAAAGAUCCUUUAAGAUGACCUUGGCAAAGAGUCCCCUCCUUCCCGGAUUGGUUUUGUCCUAAAGGGCUUUUAGGGCAUAAACGUCCUCCGCUGGGGCAAAGGCAGAAGAGAGGUUCUGUGUGUCUCGCCUGGGAUUUUCUGUUCAGCCUUGGUGCCUGAACUGAGAGGAGGGUCGCUUCCCUGAAGGAGGAUUUUCCACCUGUCUGAUCUGACCCAUCGUGGGACGUCAAGAGAUGAGGUAACCUGAGGCCCAGAGAAGUGAAGUGC